AGUGGGGAAUUUUGGACAAUGGGCGCAAGCCUGAUCCAGCAAUGCCGCGUGAGUGAAGAAGGCCUUCGGGUUGUAAAGCUCUUUUGUCAGGGAAGAAACGGCCGAGAAUAAUACUCUUGGCUAAUGACGGUACCUGAAGAAUAAGCACCGGCUAACUACGUGCCAGCAGCCGCGGUAAUACGUAGGGUGCAAGCGUUAAUCGGAAUUACUGGGCGUAAAGCGUGCGCAGGCGGUUUUGUAAGUCUGACGUGAAAGCCCCGGGCUCAACCUGGGAAUUGCGUUGGAGACUGCAAGGCUUGAAUCUGGCAGAGGGGGGUAGAAUUCCACGUGUAGCAGUGAAAUGCGUAGAGAUGUGGAGGAACACCGAUGGCGAAGGCAGCCCCCUGGGUCAAGAUUGACGCUCAUGCACGAAAGCGUGGGGAGCAAA
rnacentral:rRNA from 1 species